ensembl:lncRNA
GGCCGGGGCAAGAAGAGAGAGAGAAGCCUCUGCUUAAUGGCCAGAAAGCAGUCUUUUGUGUGGGCUACCUCAAGGGACAUAGUCAUCUCAGGGGGUACUGCACAUGACUCUCACCCAAAUGCCCAGAAAUGCCACGUUGGCAGAAGAGGGAUGAAAAAGGGACCAACAACCAAGAGGGUAUUGGACCACGAUGGGUACCAGCAAAUUGGGUGAAGCCUUAUCUGCAUUGAUGAUCAUCCUCUCCUGUGCCUGCACCACUGUAAUGGUCUUUUGGGUACCUGCACAGCCAAAACAGAAUGUGCAGGUUACCUUGGCCAAUGCGAUGGGACAAGAGACAAUCUGCUUGUUGAAUACAUCACCGGAGAACCCGUUCUCAACAUGUUUGGUCAGACAGCCACUUGAUGAAUUGCCCAUUCUGAGUUCAUUCCUGAGAAUUGCUCUUCAGAUGUCAUCUAACAUGAGUGACGUGAUCGAUUGAUGGGAUGAGUGGGCAUCUUACUUGCAGCAGGGUAAUCUCAAACCACAAACUUGAAUUAUUGGGAUCAGUUAAAAUGGACUAUUGUCUGUACUUUAACUAUAGUGGAAAGAAUCAGUCUCUAACUCAGUGUGUUAAUUCUAGCUUAACUGCUUACAGGGAUGCUUCUGCCUGGUGCAAUUACACUUCACCUAAUAUUUUGAGAUCUACUAACAGACUACUUAGCAUACCAGCAGGUGUUUUCCUCAUCUUUGAGGACAAGGCAUGGCCAGGCAUUCCUUCCCAUACUAGAGGAGGUCCGUGUAGUUUAGGGAGACUAACUUUAUUAACACCCAAUCUCACUAUGAUUUAUGAACACAGGAAAAAUCACACACGCCAGAAAAGAGUUGUGCAUGCAUUCCAGUCAGACUGCAAGGAUAAUGUAGAAUUUUGGAGCUGUGGAGGAACAAUAGCAGCAUCCUUUUUAGCUCCAGUCAUGGUUGUUAGGACUUCUGUUUGUCUUCUAAAUCUUUUUAUGUUCAGUUUAACUACCUAAGGAACAUCAUUAUUUUGUCUUAUUCUGGGCUGAGUUAUUUGACAUUAAUUCAUUAACUUCAAAGUGAAUAGGAACAGGCCUCAG